GAGAUCUGCAACUGAAUACCUGCAUCAGACAUUACAGACAGGCUGAGUAAAUGAUGUCUCUUGCACACAGACUCCCUGGGAGGCCAGAAUGUGGCUAUCAUGGAGUCCUUCGAUUUUAACAGAGAUCCUUUCUCUACAACUAAUGCAACGCAUGGCUAUAUGGGAAGCACAGAUGAAAAAAAAACCGAACCAAACCAAACAAAAUAACCCAACUUCCUGACUGUGGAGGAGAAAGAGCAGUGAGAUAAAGAAGAAGCAGAAGAAAUUAUGACUCAGGGACCUGAGAAUUGGGUCUCCCCCCUGCC